UACGAAGGGGGCUAGCGUUGCUCGGAAUCACUGGGCGUAAAGGGUGCGUAGGCGGCGCGGUAAGUCGGGUGUGAAAUCUCGGAGCUUAACUCCGAAACUGCAUUCGAUACUGCCGUGCUUGAGGACUGGAGAGGAGACUGGAAUUUACGGUGUAGCGGUGAAAUGCGUAGAUAUCGUAAGGAAGACCAGUGGCGGAAGGCGGGUCUCUGGGACGGUACUGACGCUGAGACGCGAAAGCGUGGGGAGCAAACAGG
rnacentral:rRNA from 1 species